GGCGAACGCUGGCGGCGUGCCUAAUACAUGCAAGUCGAGCGGAAUGAUGAAGAAGCUUGCUUUCUUCUGAUUUUAGCGGCGGACGGGUGAGUAACACGUGGGCAACCUACCUUGUAGAUUGGGAUAACUCCGGGAAACCGGGGCUAAUACCGAAUAAUCCAUUUUGCUUCAUGGCGAGAUGUUGAAGGACGGUUUCGGCUGUCACUACAAGAUGGGCCCGCGGCGCAUUAGCUAGUUGGUAGGGUAAUGGCCUACCAAGGCGACGAUGCGUAGCCGACCUGAGAGGGUGAUCGGCCACACUGGGACUGAGACACGGCCCAGACUCCUACGGGAGGCAGCAGUAGGGAAUCUUCCACAAUGGACGAAAGUCUGAUGGAGCAACGCCGCGUGAGUGAAGAAGGUUUUUCGGAUCGUAAAACUCUGUUGUAAGGGAAGAACACGUACGAGAGUAACUGCUCGUACCUUGACGGUACCUUAUUAGAAAGCCACGGCUAACUACGUG
rnacentral:rRNA from 1 species